rnacentral:rRNA from 1 species
UACGUAGGUGGCAAGCGUUGUCCGGAUUUAUUGGGUUUAAAGGGUGCGUAGGCGGCCCCAUAAGUCAGUGCUGAAAUACUCUAGCUCAACUAGAGGGGUGGCAUUGAUACUGCGGGGCUUGAGUGGAGUCGAGGUAGGCGGAAUUGACGGUGUAGCGGUGAAAUGCUUAGAUAUCGUCAAGAACACCGAUAGUGUAGACAGCUUACUAGGCUUCAACUGACGCUGAGGCACGAAAGCGUGGGGAUCAAACAGG